rnacentral:rRNA from 1 species
GAUGAACGCUGGCGGCGUGCCUAACACAUGCAAGUCGAACGGAGUCGUUUUGGAAAUCUCUUCGGAGAUGGAAUUCUCGACUUAGUGGCGGACGGGUGAGUAACGCGUGAGCAAUCUGCCUUUAAGAGGGGGAUAACAGUCGGAAACGGCUGCUAAUACCGCAUAAAGCAUUAAAUUCGCAUGUUUUUGAUGCCCAAUGAGCAAUCCGCUUUUAGAUGAGCUCGCGUCUGAUUAGCUAGUUGGCGGGGUAACGGCCCACCAAGGCGACGAUCAGUAGCCGGACUGAGAGGUUGAACGGCCACAUUGGGACUGAGACACGGCCCAGACUCCUACGGGAGGCAGCAGUGGGGAAUAUUGCGCAAUGGGGGAAACCCUGACGCAGCAACGCCGCGUGAUUGAAGAAGGCCUUCGGGUUGUAAAGAUCUUUAAUCAGGGACGAAACAAAUGACGGUACCUGAAGAAUAAGCUCCGGCUAACUACGUG